rnacentral:rRNA from 1 species
CGGCGAGCGAAWAGGGAAGAGCCCAGCGCCSAAUCCCCGACCCCCCCGGGUCGCGGGAAAUGUGGCGUUCGGGAGUGAGCGCCGGCGCGGCCGGCGGCCCGGCGGCAAGUCCCCCUGACCGGGGCCCGUCCGCAGCGGGUGCUAGGCCCGUAGUCGCCGGGGCCGGCCGCGGGUGCGAUCUCCCCGGAGUCGGGUUGCUUGGGAGUGCAGCCCCAAUAGGGUGGUAGACUCCACCCAAGGCUAAACACGGCCGCGAGACCGAUAGCGAACAAGUACCGUGAGGGAAAGUUGCAAAGGACUUUGAAGAGAGAGUUCAAGAGUACGUGAAACUGCCCAGAGGUAAACGGGUGGGCCCUCGAAGUCCCCCGGGCGGGGGGAUUCAGUCGGGGCGCCGCGGGAGUCUGGAGAGAAGGGGAGCGCCGUGCGCGGUCCGUCUCGCCCGCUCCUCCCCGCGCGCCCCCCGACGCAGUUGACCCCCGCCCCGCGGACGCCGCGGCCGGUUCGGGGGCGGCCUGGAGGUGUGGCAGGACCGGGUAGUGCCGUCCCCCGGCGCGCGUCCAGGCGCGUGCCGCGGGUGGUAGCCCGCCCGCACCGGGCCCGCCCCCGGACCGAGGUCGAUGCGAGUCCUCGGACUCGGCGUCUCCGCCCCGAGGGGUGCGGACGUGGAGCGCGGCCGGGGCCCGACGGGCGGACCGCCGCACUCGUGGGAGUGGGCGGACCGUCCGGGCGGGACCCGAGCGCCGCGCCGGAUCCGCGGUCUGGGACCGGAGGCCGGCGGCGAGUAGGUCGGUCACCCACCCGACCCGUCUUGAAACACGGACCAAGGAGUCUAACAUGUGCGCGAGUCGGUGGGUCUUGCUCAGGCCCACGGGCGCAACGAAAGCGAAGCGGCGCCUCGCGCCGAGAGCGGAGAUCCCCGGACCAGUUCCCGGGGCGCACCCGCGACCCGCGCCRAGUCCGGGCCAUGUCUCCGGCGGCGCGGAGUCUGAGCGUACACGUUGGGACCCGAAAGAUGGUGAACUAUGCCCGGACAGGACGAGGCCAGGGGAAACCCUGGUGGAGGUCCGCA